UGGGGAAUAUUGCACAAUGGAGGGAACUCUGAUGCAGCGACGCCGCGUGAGUGAUGAAGGGAUUCGUUUCGUAAAACUCUGUUCUAUGGGAAGAAAAGGACUGUACCAUAGGAGAAAGCUCCGGCUAAAUACGUGCCAGCAGCCGCGGUAAUACGUAUGGAGCGAGCGUUGUCCGGAAUUAUUGGGCGUAAAGGGUGCGCAGGCGGCUUUACAAGUUGGAUGUGAAAUAUUGUGGCUCAACCACAAACGUGCAUCCAAAACUGCAAAGCUUGAGUAAAGGAGCGGUGAGUGGAAUUCCUGGUGUAGCAGUGGACUGCGUAGAUAUCAGGAGGAAUACCGGUGGCGAAGGCGGCUUACUGGACUUAAACUGACGCUCAGGCACGAAAGCGUGGGGAGCAAACAGG
rnacentral:rRNA from 1 species